CCUUUCCUAAGGGGAGGCCCCAAACUUCUGGAGAAUAAAGAAUUCAGGGGCAGUGAUCCCUUCGAAAGCUUAUGUCUAUCAGCAGCACAAUGAGCCAAAUCAUCCAAGGGAACCAUCAGGAAAGGAGAAGCAAUUGCUGGGCACUGCUCAGCUUAAAGCCCCUUUACUCAACACCUGGCCGAAAUAUACCACACAGUCAGCACCUGAAUUUGAACUUGCAUCAUCCUAACAGAUGUUUUUCUUGGAAUCAAGCCAUCAAUAAAACUUAAUUCCUUUCAACAAGGCUUUAUUGAGCAACU
rnacentral:lncRNA from 1 species